ACUGAUUUAAAAGAUACCAUAAAGAGAAAGAAUUUUAAAGGAAGGGAAAAAAAAAGUUCUGAAAACAGUGUAUAAUGUAUAAUGGAAGAGCAAGUUGAAUCAGAAUAGCAGUUGGGUUGAGAUGUCUUUUUAAAACCUU